CUCCUGUCAGAAUCAGAAACGCUUCCAAUACAUCAAAGAAUACAUUUUAUCGAUAUGGGAGAAGCUAAAGUCUUGAGCCACCUGUCAUUUCUUGAUAUUUUGUUUUCAAGGAGCUGGACUUUCUGUCAUGGUCCUGGGCCAUGCGGGCCCAGUAUUCUCAGUUCCUUGUGUUUUUGUAUUUCAUUCCUUAUUUAGGUCAUGUUUCCUGAGUUGUCCUGUUAUGUUGUUCCUUAUUUGACUUCCCCUUGUGACUCUUAUCCCCUGUGUGCCCCUCUAUGUAUCUGUGAGCCCUCAUCUCCCCUCGUGUUUCAUUCCAUGUUUCCCCAGCCCACUAUGCCCGUGCUCUCUCUCUCCUCCUGUUUGCACCUCUGUGUACUUCCUGUUUUACUUUGACAGUCUCCCGUCAGUGUUGUUUACUCCUGCCAUGUCUUGUUAUGUUUAUCUGUGUCAGCUGUGUUCCCAUGUGUGGCCACUUCCCCUGAUCAUCCCUCUUGUGUAUUUAGUCUCUGUGUUUCAUGUAGUCUGUGUCGCGUCGUCUGUGUUUCCACCCUCUAUGUUUCCAUGCCCGGUCUAUUGUAUUCUUAGUCAUAGCUUUACCUUAGUUAUUCCCAGUUUAGGUUUCCGUUUAGCCACGCUAUCCCUGCUGUAUUUGUAUACCUUGUCAUCAGCCACAAUAAAGGCUCGCUUUUGUUUAAAGUUCACUCCCGCCUGCUCACCUGUGUUCGCACCUGGGUCCACCAUACACACCACCGCACGGUCUGUCACAGCGGACCGUGACACUUUCUUGUACACUUUUAAAAAGUAAUCUUGGGUAAUAGUUUGUGAGGCUGUCUGAAUGUCCUUUACAGUUUUUAUUUGGACACUGGAUGCUUUUUCUCUUAGUUUCAGUCCAGUCCUUGUACCCAAUUAUUUUAGAAUAAUUUUUUUCUGUAUGUUUUUUUUUUUUGUAUUUUUGUUUUUGUGUUUUAAAUCUAUGCAAGCAAUAGAUUCAUUUGAGAAGCAUAAAACAGCAUUUUUGCACCUACAAGGUGAUUCCCAAAGAGUUAUCAGCUGAAAACUUAGCACAUCUUGGCAUGGUUUGCUGUGUGUCCUUUAAAACAAUUGAGGAAGCAGCCUUCAGGAGAGCAGCUGAUUUUGAAGUCCUCUAUGCAAUUCCAGUUCUUACUACUAGCAUUGCAUUUUGUGAUUUUUACCAGACUUGGCAAAGAUAAAGGAGAAACAUCAACUUCUGUAUGGAACUGACCCAAAUUUGUUGAGAAGCUAUUGCUGUGCUGCUGAUGGGAGCUACAGGCAAGCACAGAAGAAUCCACAGUUUCCAAGACAGCACCAAGAGGGAAACAAAACCUGGAGUGUGGUUAGGAUUUCUUUUGACAUUAGCAUGCUUGAGGCUGCCAACAGAGAAAGAAACUAAAUUGUAGUGUGGUAUUCUGCCAUACCACCAUGUGCCUUUUUUUUUUUUUUAAACACCAAUUCAGUCUUUGCUCGCCAUGAGCCCAUUCCUCAGAUUUGCCUCCCCAAAACUUCCAGACAAUCAAAAUCUAGUUAAAGGAUUAUCAUAUCAACACACUUCAGGCGAUCCAGCAUUCAAUAUAGAGGCAAAAAGGUGUAAAUCAACUUCAGCAGAGUGAUCUGAAAGUAGCUGUCCAACAGAAAAUGGUUUAGAGGUGCACCUCAAAAUGAUCUUUAAUGUAUGAGUGUCCAAAUUUUUUAAUUAGACUUGUUUCUUUUUCCUGCACACCUUUUAUUUAGAUCUUUUGUGAAAAAGAAAGCCACACAUUAAAAAAGGCAGCCUCUUUUUAUGUUUUCCAAGUAGAUCCUACUGAGAGUUGGGACCAUAGGCAGACUCAGAAUAUAAUGGAGGGAUUAUAAAACUCAUCUGGUGGAGGAAGACCUCGGGAUUCCCCUGGGAGUUCUGGAGGAUGACAGGAUGGAAGGAUGUCUGGCCUACCUUUGUUUUCCUCUUGUCAAUUGUGGGGCUGAACUUCCACACCCUGGAUA
ensembl:lncRNA